rnacentral:snRNA from 1 species
AGGCAUAUUUGAUAACUUAAUU